rnacentral:rRNA from 1 species
CAAGUCGAACGAUGAACCUCACUUGUGGGGGGAUUAGUGGCGAACGGGUGAGUAACACGUGAGUAACCUGCCCUUGACUCUGGGAUAAGCCUGGGAAACCGGGUCUAAUACUGGAUACGACCUUCUGGCGCAUGCCAUGUUGGUGGAAAGCUUUUGUGGUUUUGGAUGGACUCGCGGCCUAUCAGCUUGUUGGUGGGGUAAUGGCCUACCAAGGCGACGACGGGUAGCCGGCCUGAGAGGGUGACCGGCCACACUGGGACUGAGACACGGCCCAGACUCCUACGGGAGGCAGCAGUGGGGAAUAUUGCACAAUGGGCGCAAGCCUGAUGCAGCGACGCCGCGUGAGGGAUGAAGGCCUUCGGGUUGUAAACCUCUUUCAGUAGGGAAGAAGCCGGCCUUUUGGGUUGGUGACGGUACCUGCAGAAGAAGCGCCGGCUAACUACGUGCCAGCAGCCGCGGUAAUACGUAGGGCGCAAGCGUUAUCCGGAAUUAUUGGGCGUAAAGAGCUCGUAGGCGGUUUGUCGCGUCUGCCGUGAAAGUCCGGGGCUUAACUCCGGAUCUGCGGUGGGUACGGGCAGACUAGAGUGCAGUAGGGGAGACUGGAAUUCCUGGUGUAGCGGUGAAAUGCGCAGAUAUCAGGAGGAACACCGAUGGCGAAGGCAGGUCUCUGGGCUGUAACUGACGCUGAGGAGCGAAAGCAUGGGGAGCGAA